UAAUACGGAGGGUGCGAGCGUUACCCGGAAUCAUUGGGCGUAAAGCGUCCGCAGGCGGUUUAUUAAGUUAAGUAUUAAAUCUUGGGGCCCAACCCUAAGGCUGUGCUUAAAACUAGUAGACUAGAGACUUUCAGGGGCAUGUGGAAUUCUGUGUGUAGGGGUUAAAUCCGUAGAUACACAGAGGAACACCAAAAGCAAAGGCAGCAUGCUGGGGAAGUUCUGACGCUCAUGGACGAAAGCGUGGCUAGCGAAACGGAUUAGAUACCCGUGUAGUCCACGCCGUAAACGAUGGAUACUAGGUGUUGGGAGGCUCGACCCUUUCAGUGCCGAAGCUAACGCAUUAAGUAUCCCGCCUGGGGAGUACGGUCGCAAGAUUA
rnacentral:rRNA from 1 species